rnacentral:rRNA from 1 species
AAUCAACGCUGGCGGCGUGCCUAACACAUGCAAGUCGAGCGCGAAUUGGGGGGCGAACUCCCAUAGUAGAGCGGCAAACGGGUGAGUAACGCGUGGGUGAUCUACCUUCGAGUGGGGAACAACAUCGGGAAACUGGUGCUAAUACCGCAUGACAUCCUCGGAUCAAUCUGGGGAUCAAAGCUGGGGACCGCAAGGCCUGGCGCUUGAAGACGAGCCCCGCGUCCGAUUAGCUAGUUGGCGGGGUAAUGGCCCACCAAGGCUUCGAUCGGUAGCCGGCCUGAGAGGGCGGACGGCCACACUGGGACUGAGACACGGCCCAGACUCCUACGGGAGGCAGCAGU